GAUGAACGCUGGCGGCGUGCCUAAUACAUGCAAGUCGAGCGAACGGACGAGAAACUUUCUUCUCUGAUGUUAGCGGCGGACGGGGGAGUAAAACGUGGAUAACCUACCUAUAAGACUGGGAGAACUUCGGGAAAACGGAGCUAAUACCGUGUAAUAGUUUGAACCGCAUGGUUCAAAAGUGAAAGACGGUCUUGGGUUCACUUAUAGAUGGAUCCGCGCUGCAUUAUAUAGUUGGUAAGGUAACGGCUUACCAAGGCAACGAUGCAUAGCCGACCUGAGAGGGUGAUCGGCCACCCUGGAACUGAGACACGGUCCAGACUACUACGGGAGGCAGCAGUAGGGAAUCUUACGCAAUGGGCGAAAGCCUGACGGAGCCACGCCGCGUGGGUGAUGAAGGUCUUCGGAUCGUAAAACUCUGUUAUUAGGGAAGAACAUAUGUGUAAGUAACUGUGCACAUCUUGAAGGUACCUAAUCAGAAAGCCACGGCUAACUACGUG
rnacentral:rRNA from 1 species